rnacentral:rRNA from 1 species
CAGCAGCCGCGGUAAUACAGAGGGUGCAAGCGUUAAUCGGAAUUACUGGGCGUAAAGCGCGCGUAGGUGGUUUGUUAAGUUGGAUGUGAAAUCCCCGGGCUCAACCUGGGAACUGCAUCCAAAACUGGCAAGCUAGAGUAUGGUAGAGGGUGGUGGAAUUUCCUGUGUAGCGGUGAAAUGCGUAGAUAUAGGAAGGAACACCAGUGGCGAAGGCGACCACCUGGACUGAUACUGACACUGAGGUGCGAAAGCGUGGGGAGCAAACAGGAUUAGAUACCCCAGUAGUCCCUGUCUCUUAUAC